GAUAAAACAUUAUGAAAAACAAAUUGGGGCUUAGAGAGGAAGUUGAAGACUAAACAACAUACGCUCCAGAACACUUUACACAACGCUAGCUGAAAAAUCCACACGAUUUCUCUUCUCUAGAACUUCAAAUCGAAGAGUAGAUAAUGAUAUCGAAGAGUGGAAGCUGAAGAAUGGAGAUGAGCUGAAAAUUGGAGGAGCUGAACUGAUUCUAUUCUCCAAAAUUAGAAGAGCUGAAAAUCGGAGGAGCUAAAGUGAGCAGAUGCUGAUGAACUGGGGGUCGAUCGAGCAACUGAAGAACGUAAGUUGAAGAACAUACGCUCCAACUUCUAGUUUCAGCCGAACAACAUACCUCAAGCUGAAGAACAUAUGCUCUAACUGAAGAACAUAUGCUUCAGCUGAAUCUGAGGAACGUACCUCCAACUGAAGAACAUACACUCCAAGCUUUAUUAGCAUUCUUUGUUAACGAGUUGUUCCGUCGGAUUUCACAGAUGAACAAAAUGCUUCACACACGAACACGCCUCACGUCUUGUGUUGUUGGAACAGAGUUUAUAAGUUCAAAUCUGAGUUUUUGUUGAAGAAUUUACUGCUGAAACAACAGUGCAAGUGAAUAAUGUAAUGUGAUUUUCUCCACUUUAUUGUAACAUUUCAGAGCGUAAUGUGCUUUUCUCCACUUUAUUGUAACAUUUCAGAGUAUCUCUUUUCUUUUAUUUCAAAUUGACCACAAAUCAUGAAGUUUACAAAAAGCUUUUUUUACUCCUUAUGGGGUUAUU